GGGUGCGGUCAUACCAGCACUAAUGCACCGGAUCCCAUCAGAACUCCGUAGUUAAGCGUGCUUGGGUGAGAGUAGUACUUGGAUGGGUAACCUCCUGGGAAGUCCUCGUGUUGCACCCCUC
rnacentral:rRNA from 1 species